rnacentral:rRNA from 1 species
GACGAACGCUGGCGGCGUGCCUAACACAUGCAAGUCGAGCGGAGGCAUACGAGGAGCAAUCUGAGGAUGCCUGAGCGGCGGACGGGUGAGUAACGCGUGAGCAACCUGCCUUCCACAGGGGGAUAACGUACCGAAAGGUACACUAAUACCGCAUGAGACCACGGUACCGAGGGUAGUGGGGUCAAAGGAGCAAUCCGGAGGGAGCUGGGCUCGCGUCCGAUUAGGUAGUUGGCGGGGUAACGGGCCACCAAGCCUGUGAUCGGUUGCCGGCCUGAGAGAGUGAACGGCCACAUUGGAACUGAGAGACGGUCCAAACUCCGACGGGAGGCAGCAGUGGGGAAUAUUGGGCAAUGGGGGGAAGCCUGACCCAGCAACGCCGCGUGAGGGAAGAAGGUUUUCGGAUUGUAAACCUCUGUUCUUGGAGAAGAGAAGAAGACGGUAUCCAAGGAGGAAGCCCCGGCUAACUACGUGCCAGCCGCCGCGGUAAUAC